UACGUAGGGGCCUAGCGUUGUCCGGAAUUAUUGGGCGUAAAGAGCUCGUAGGCGGUUCGGCAAGUCGGAUGUGAAAUCUCCACGCUUAACGUGGAGGGGCCAUUCGAAACUGCUGUGACUCGAGUCCGGUAGGGGAGUGUGGAAUUCCCGGUGUAGCGGUGAAAUGCGCAGAUAUCAGGAGGAACACCGGUGGCGAAGGCGGAUCUCUGGGCCAUUACUGACGCUGAGGAGCGAAAGCGUGGGGAGCGAACAGG
rnacentral:rRNA from 1 species